CUCCUCAACCUGGAAGUGAUUAACAUAAAGACAUGCACAUGCAUCAUUUCCCUUGCUCCUCACAGCAACCUCCAAAGUAGGCAGGAAGUACCUGGAAACAAGAAGAGGAGCCUUGCAGGAACGUGUGCGGGUUAACGAGGCACUCUGAUUUUGGACUUCCAGUCUCCAGAACCAUGAGAAAUAAAGUCUGCUGUUGAAACCACCCCAUCUAUGCUAGCCUGCUGGUCCCAGGAAGAAGAUAAGAGACUCACGGAGCAGGACUGCCUGACCAGGUCCAGCCCAGAUCAGCUGACUCUCAGCCAGUUCACAGAAGCAUGAACUAAAUAAGUGCUCCUGGAGCCAACGAUGAGUGGUGUCCACCUUACUCCAUCCUCAUCCACCUUGUCUCCCAGGCCCAUCACUGGCACUCCAUUGGCCCAACCCAUCUACCAAGAACAAGCUUCAGGGCCAGCAGCAUCUGCACUGAAGAGGCACUCACUCUGCGCCAGGCACUAUCCUAUUACACACCUAAUGCAGAGGGACAGCACCAGCAUGGACCCCAGGGUCUUCCCUGUUUUACAGCAAAUGGAAGAAGAGAGCAAGGAUUGACAAGGGAGGUCCUAAGGGGCCCUGGCUGGAAGUGGCCGCAUUACCCCUGUUCAUAUCCCGUUGGUUAGGACUCAGCCAUAUGGUCACAUCUAGUCACAGUUCAGUUCAGUCGCUCAGUUGUGUCUGAUGACCCCAUGGACUGCAG
ensembl:lncRNA